AUUGAACGCUGGCGGCAGGCCUAACACAUGCAAGUCGAACGAGCUGCGGCCGGGUGAGUAAUGUCUGGGAAUCUGCCUGAUGGAGGGGGAUAACUACUGGAAACGGUAGCUAAUACCGCAUACCAUCAGAUGUACCCAUAUGGGAUUAGCUUGUUGGUGGGGUAACGGCUCACCUAGGCGACGAUCCCUAGCUGGUCUGAGAGGAUGACCAGCCACACUGGGACUGAGACACGGUCCAGACUCCUACGGGAGGCAGCAGUGGGGAAUAUUGCACAAUGGGCGCAAGCCUGAUGCAGCCAUGCCGCGUGUAUGAAGAAGGCCUUCGGGUUGUAAAGUACUUUCAGCGGGGAGGCGUUACCCGCAGAAGAAGCACCGGCUAACUCCGUGCCAGCAGCCGCGGUAAUUC
rnacentral:rRNA from 1 species